rnacentral:rRNA from 1 species
UACAUGGGGUGCAAACGUUGCUCGGAAUUAUUAGGCGUAAAGCGCGCGUAGGCGGUUACUCAAGUCGGAUGUGAAAGCCCUCGGCUUAACUGAGGAAGUGCACCCGAAACUGAGUAGCUAGAGUACUAAAGAGGGUCGCGGAAUUCCCGGUGUAGAGGUGAAAUUCGUAGAUAUCGGGAGGAACACCGGUGGCGAAGGCGGCGACCUGGGUAGAUACUGACGCUGAGGCGCGAAAGCGUGGGGAGCAAACAGG